GACGAACGCUGGCGGCGUGCUUAACACAUGCAAGUCGAACGGAAAGGCCCUGCUUUUGUGGGGUGCUCGAGUGGCGAACGGGUGAGUAACACGUGAGUAACCUGCCCUUGACUUUGGGAUAACUUCAGGAAACUGGGGCUAAUACCGGAUAGGAGCUCCUGCUGCAUAGUGGGGGUUGGAAAGUUUCGGCGGUUGGGGAUGGACUCGCGGCUUAUCAGCUUGUUGGUGGGGUAGUGGCUUACCAAGGCUUAGACGGGUAGCCGGCCUGAGAGGGUGACCGGCCACAUUGGGACUGAGAUACGGCCCAGACUCCUACGGGAGGCAGCAGUGGGGAAUAUUGCACAAUGGGCGGAAGCCUGAUGCAGCAACGCCGCGUGCGGGAUGACGGCCUUCGGGUUGUAAACCGCUUUCGCCUGUGACGAAGCGUGAGUGACGGUAAUGGGUAAAGAAGCACCGGCUAACUACGUG
rnacentral:rRNA from 1 species